rnacentral:rRNA from 1 species
UAGUCCACGCCGUAAACGAUGAGAACUAGCUGUUGGGAUGAAGACAUCUUAGUGGCGAAGCUAACGCGAUAAGUUCUCCGCCUGGGGAGUACGGCCGCAAGGUUAAAACUCAAAGGAAUUGACGGGGGCCCGCACAAGCGGUGGAGCAUGCGGUUUAAUUCGAUGCAACGCGAAGAACCUUACCUACACUUGACAUCCUGUGAAUCUUUUAGAGAUAAGAGAGUGUCUUCGGGAGCACAGUGACAGGUGCUGCAUGGCUGUCGUCAGCUCGUGUCGCGAGAUGUUGGGUUAAGUCCCGUAACGAGCGCAACCCUUAUCCUUAGUUGCCAUCAGGUAAUGCUGGGCACUUUAAGGAGACUGCCGGUGAUAAACCGGAGGAAGGUGGGGACGAUGGUCAAGUCAUCAUGGGCCCUUACGUGUAGGGGCUACACGCGUGCUACAAUGGGUCGGUACAGA